rnacentral:tRNA from 1 species
AACAUAGAAGUAAAAAAAAUACAUUUAAUUUCGACUUAAAAAUUUGGAUUAAUUAUAUCCCAUGUUU